AAAUGGCUAUAACCCAGCUCUCUACAGCAGUGCACUGAAAAGUGAUGUGUGAUGUGAAGCAAGGUGAGGGGAAUCAUGUUCACUUCACCACAGACACUAAAGUUUGCCAGCUUUCUUCUUUACCUGAGUAAUGACCACCAGGAGGGGCUUCACAGCAGCUUGUUUUGUUCCUAGAUCCAGAAAAAUAUGUGCAUUUGCCUACAAGGACAGUGUGCAUUUUAAGAGAAUGAGAGUGGCUGGUUAGUGGACACUAGUGUCUAUGUGAAAAAAAAUGGGAAAGCAAAACCAGG